rnacentral:rRNA from 1 species
CAGCAGCCACGGGAAUACGUAGGUGGCAAGCGUUGUCCGGAAUUAUUGGGCGUAAAGGGCUCGCAGGCGGUUUCUUAAGUCUGAUGUGAAAGCCCCCGGCUCAACCGGGGAGGGUCAUUGGAAACUGGGAAACUUGAGUGCAGAAGAGGGGAGUGGAAUUCCACGUGUAGCGGUGAAAUGCGUAGAAAUGUGGAGGAACACCAGUGGCGAAGGCGACUCUCUGGUCUGUAACUGACGCUGAGGAGCGAAAGCGUGGGGAGCGAACAGGAUUAGAUACCCCCGUAGUCCCUGUCUCUUAUAC